rnacentral:rRNA from 1 species
CGACGAGUUUGAUCAUGGCUCAGGAUGAACGCUGGCGGCGUGCCUAAUACAUGCAAGUCGAACGAGGUGCUUGAGUAGCAAUACAAGAGUAUCCUAGUGGCGAACGGGUGAGUAACGCGUGGAUGACCUGCCCCAAAGUGUGGGAUAACAGUCCGAAAGGAUUGCUAAUACCUCAUGUGGUUAUCGGAUUUAGAAACUGAUAACUAAAGCAGCAAUGCGCUUUGGGAGGGAUCUGCGUCCCAUCAGCUAGUUGGUGAGGUAACGGCUCACCAAGGCGACGACGGGUAGGGGACCUGAGAGGGUGGCCCCCCACAAUGGAACUGAAACACGGUCCAUACACCUACGGGUGGCAGCAGUAGGGAAUAUUGCUCAAUGGGCGAAAGCCUGAAGCAGCAACGCCGCGUGUGCGAUGAAGGCCUUCGGGUCGUAAAGCACUUUUCUACGAGAUGAGAAAGGACAGUAUCGUAGGAAUAAGUCUCGGCUAACUACGUG